UUGUUCUUGUUGAUAAAAUGAAAAAUGUUUGCAGCGAGUAGCUUUAUUCCAUGUUUGUUAAGAUUGCAUCCGCCUCUUCCAAAGAGGUGAAAGCGCUGCCAGUAGAUCCAGAGGUUAUCGAUGAAGGUCACUGAGCUGGCAGAGCAGGUUUUAAUCAGCCAUUUGUUUAUCAUGCCCAGCCUGGAGUGUUUUUCGUCUCCCCGUUGAGGUGAUGGAAUUGGACCACUGAGAAAUAACUUCGUUUUUAAUUUUCCCAUAGUGUUCAGAAGAAUAUUAAAGUCCUCUUUCAGAAUCUCAGAUUUUUGCUUUGCCAGAUCGUUGGCUCCAACAUGCACAACUAAAGUCUCAAUAUUUGGCUGAUCAGUAGUGUUGACUUCCACCAAGGG